rnacentral:rRNA from 1 species
CCUACGGGAGGCUGCAGUGGGGAAUAUUGCACAAUGGGGGAAACCCUGAUGCAGCGACGCCGCGUGAGUGAAGGAGUAUUUCGGUAUGUAAAGCCCUAUCAGCAGGGAAGAACAAUAACGGUACCUGACUAAAAGGCACCGGCUAAAUACGUGCCAGAAGCCGCGGUAAUACGUAGGGUGCAAGCGUUAUCCGGAUUUACUGGGUGGAAAGGGAGCGCAGGCGGCGAGUUAAGCCUGGUGUGAAAGUCCGCGGCCCAACCGCGGGACUGCAUUGGGAACUGGCGCGCUGGAGUGCAGGAGGGGUAGGCGGAAUGCCUAGUGUAGCGGUGAAAUGCGUAGAUAUUAGGAGGAACACCAGUGGCGAAGGCGGCUUACUGGACGGUGACUGACGCUGAGGCUCGAAAGCGUGGGGAGCAAACAGGAUUAGAUACCCCAGUAGUC